GACGAACGCUGGCGGCGUGCUUAACACAUGCAAGUCGAACGGUAAGGCCCUUCGGGGUACACGAGUGGCGAACGGGUGAGUAACACGUGGGUGAUCUGCCCUGCACUUCGGGAUAAGCCUGGGAAACUGGGUCCAAUACCGGAUAGGACUACUGGCGUCAUGGUUGGGGGUGGAAAGCUUUUGCGGUGUGGGAGGGGCCCGCGGCCUAUCAGCUUGUUGGUGGGGUAAUGGCCUACCAAGGCGGCGACGGGUAGCCGGCCUGAGAGGGUGACCGGUCACACUGGGACUGAGAUACGGCCCAGACUCCUACGGGAGGCAGCAGUGGGGAAUAUUGCACAAUGGGCGCAAGCCUGAUGCAGCGACGCCGCGUGAGGGAUGACGGCCUUCGGGUUGUAAACCUCUUUCAGCUAUGACGAAGCGCAAGUGACGGUAGUAGCAGAAGAAGGACCGGCCAACUACGUGCCAGCCGCCGCCGUAAUAC
rnacentral:rRNA from 1 species